rnacentral:rRNA from 1 species
UGGGGAAUAUUGGACAAUGGGCGCAAGCCUGAUCCAGCCAUGCCGCGUGAGUGAUGAAGGCCCUAGGGUUGUAAAGCUCUUUCACCGGUGAAGAUAAUGACGGUAACCGGAGAAGAAGCCCCGGCCAACUUCGUGCCAGCAGCCGCGGUAAUACGAAGGGGGCUAGCGUUGUUCGGAAUUACUGGGCGUAAAGCGCACGUAGGCGGAUUGUUAAGUCAGGGGUGAAAUCCCGGGGCUCAACCCCGGAACUGCCUUUGAUACUGGCAUUCUCGAGUCCGGAAGAGGUGAGUGGAAUUCCGAGUGUAGAGGUGAAAUUCGUAGAUAUUCGGAGGAACACCAGUGGCGAAGGCGGCUCACUGGUCCGGAACUGACGCUGAGGUGCGAAAGCGUGGGGAGCAAACAG